rnacentral:misc_RNA from 1 species
AGAAGUAAAAGUCGUAACAAGGUUUCCGUAGGUGAACCUGCGGAAGGAUCAUUAUAAAUGAAGCCGGGAAACCGGUCCUUCUCACCCUUGAUUAUCUCAAUUUGUUGCUUUGGUGGGCCGCGCAAGCACCGGCUUCGGCUGGAUCGUGCCCGCCAGAGGACCACAACUCUGUAUUAUAUGUCGUCUGAGUACUAUAAAAUAGUUAAAACUUUCAACAACGGAUCUCUUGGUUCUG